UGUCGUUCCCGAUAUCUUCACUUGAAGCCUCUCAUAUAUUCACAAGAACACCUUCGCUUGCAAAUAUCUUCUUCUCUUCCUUCCUUACCACUUCCAAUUUUCUUGGAUUUUUUUUUUCCAUUUUUUGUCCUAAAACUUCUCUUCUAACAACUCAACCCUAGUUUUGCUGGAGCUAGCUAAAUGGAGAUGUGACCAAGGAAAAGUAAAAGAAAAAAAAAUUACAAAGAAUUGCUAGCAACCAUUCUUUCUCUCUCUCUCUCUGUCUCUCUCUCUCUCUCUCUCUCUCUCUCUCUUUUUGAAAGCCAAAGAAAAUUCCAAGGUACCCGAUCUGUUUAGAAGUGAAGCUAAUUUCUUCGAUCGAAGCAGCUGUUGGAAGAGUUGCAGAUCUGUUGUGUGGCUUUGGAUUCUAUAAAACAUCUGUUUUUGUUUUAUUUUUUUGUCUGAGAACUGGACUCCUAUAACAACAACCAACGUUGUUCAAAACUGUGGCUGCCAUUUUUCAGGCUAUGCUUUUGAAAGUACUGAAGCUGCAAAAGGCUUAAACGAGAGAGAGAGAGAGAGAGAGAGAGAGAGAGAGAGGGAAGGCUGGUCUCCUGACUUGGACCGUAUAUCAAAGCGUAAGAAAGGUCCUUUAUCACUAAACACAGCCGAACUACUGUCUAUGCAAUCGUCAUCAAUGCAUAGGACAUGUCAACCCCGUCUUUCUAACAUUUCUCCAAAAUCCCAGAUUUUCUGUCUUUCUCUUUAAAGCUGAGAUAGAAGGUAUAUUGUUUGGGGUAGGUGAGGUUUUGAGUUUCUGAGAAAGCAAUGAAAGUAGUAUGGAGAUAGAUGAGAUUCAGACACAACAAGGUUCUAAGUUCUCAAGAGUUGGUAAUGGGAGAAGUGAGUCGAGCAGGAUGGGUCAGAAAGGUAGUGACAACUACUACCCUGAUGAUGAAGAAGGUAGAGAGGUCAUGAAAAGGGCUAGUGCAAAUGGAGGUGGAGGUGAUGCUCUAGCUGACACCGCUGCUGCUAAUCGGCUUCGAGGCUGGCACCAUUCUUCGAGAAUUAUUAGGGUUUCUCGAGCCUCGGGUGGGAAAGAUCGGCACAGCAAGGUUUGGACUUCAAAAGGGUUGAGGGAUAGGAGGGUAAGGUUAUCUGUCACCACAGCUAUACAGUUUUAUGAUCUACAAGACCGGUUGGGCUAUGAUCAGCCUAGUAAAGCAAUAGAGUGGCUGAUUAAAGCAGCUGCUGAUGCAAUUGCGGAGCUUCCUUCACUUAACACUUCAUUUCCUGAUACCCCAAGGCAAUUGAGUGAUGAUGGAACUGAACAAGGGUUUGACUCGGCUGAAGUAGAGUUAGAUGGCGAUCCGAAUAAUUACCAAGAAAACCAAAGUCAGCAGCACCUUUCCUUGUCCAAAUCAGCUUGCAGUAGCACGUCCGAGAUUAGCAAGAACUCGGGUUUAUCCCUUUCCAGGUCUGAGAACCGUGUAAAAGCCCGGGAACGGGCAAGGGGAAGAGUAGCAAAAGAAAAGGGGAAAGAGCAAAAGACUGACAUUGCACAUCAACAAAAUGUGAACCCCAUUUCUCACAACUCUUCCUUCACUGAGUUACUAACCUGUGGCAUUGGCAGUGUUAGCAACAAUCACACUAGUCCUAGUCCUACCGCUUCAGCUCGUCAAAACCCCAGGCAGUGGCCUGUCACUCAAAUGGAUUACUUUACAAUGGGGCUCCUUGGACCUUCUUCUUCGAGAAACCAAUCUUCAGGGUUUCCAGGACAAAUGCAACAGCCACAACCGAUACUGAUACCACCAUUUACUGUGUCGGGUGAAAACAAUCAAAAGUUGCAGCAUUUUUCGUUUGUUCCCAACACGGACCAUAUGAUCCCGGUGGCAACAGCACAACCGGUGCUAGGGAGUGACUACAACCUCAACUUCGCAAUCUCUUCCGGCAUUGCUGGUUUCAACAGGGGGACCCUUCAGUCCAAUUCUCCUCCUUUUUUGCCUCAUCACCUCCAGAGGUUUUCUUCUAUAGAGGGAUCACCACCAGUGGAGAACCAUCACCACCAUUAGUUUCCAGUUGGAUUAGAUUGCCGUUUGCAGCUCGGUUUCUGAAAACGUUUCCUCUUGGCCCCAUAAUUUUUCCUGAAAAGAGAAGAUAGAAGAAAAAGCUGCAGCGAGUGAAUGCGAUCCUUCCCCCUGCAUUGGGUGAUAAAUACAUUUUAUUAUUGUGCUUCUGAAUAUUGUUAGUAUUUGUGGUUUAUCCAUUGGCGUAUUGGGGUUUAAUCGUGGUGUGUUUCCAACAAACAAUUGGAUUGAAGUUAUUGUUUUCCCUAUGCUACACUACCAUUCUGAAAAUUGUCUAUAUUGUAUUGGGCAUCACCAAUGAAUUAAUUAUCUGCUUUAUAAAGCCCAACAUCCCAUGCUUCUUCAGAA